AGCAGCUUCAACUUUUUUACCGUCCACUAGUGGAUAUUUAACAUUGUCUGUUUUCAUUUGACAGGAUACCUCAUUUUCUCAUGCAGAUCUUUUUAUUUGUUUGUUUAGUUUUUCCUGUCUUUUUGGACUUAUUUAUUACAAAAAAGUUUGUUUCGAUCUCACUUCUGUUCUCUUAUCUUUUUUCAUCAGGUAAGUAAAAAGUCUGUGUGUGUGCUCUUAAAAGUAAAGACUUCAUUAAGCUGCUUUAAAAGCUGUUUCAAAAGUUUUUCAAAUGCAAUAUUUGUGCCUAAAACGCAUUAACUUUGGUAGAACUUGUCUCACUUUUCAUCUAUCUUAGGAUUGCAGGAAGCCAUUUUCUUUGUGAGUUAGUGGGGCACGUUUCCUGAGAUGAUGUAAAACAUAUGUUUCAUGCUUGUUACAUCCCUCCAGUAGUAUCAGUACUUGUGUGUAGCGUCCGAUAGCAUGUGUGAGGGGGUUCUCUGUGGAAUGAUAAAGAUGGUUGCUGCUAGAUCACCAGUCUACAGUAGAACAAAACUUUCCAGCCUACAGUUUUGUGAGCUUUUAUUGGAUUUGGAGAUUUGAGUAAGAAUUUAACAGCAGGGGGCCUCCAUCAAAACGUGAGCUUCAAGUGCAUCCAAUGUGAUCAUGUUCCCUAUCUAAAGAUAGCAGCUAUAUGGCUUCUGAAUUGGAUCUCUCAUGCCUCUGGAAUGUCUGCUACUGCCUGUCAGCAGGGUGGCAGGCAAUUAUGCAAAAUCCACUUCUAAAAAUUCAAAAUGGCCGCCAUGAGCUCUUCUAUCCUAGAGCUCCUCCAGACUGCAGGGCAAAACCUGUGACUUUGAGAAGUGACUUUGAAAUUCUUAUUCUGGUGCAUCCAAUCAUUAAACUGAUCCUUAUUAUUUUUAAUACCAUUUUCGAUUAAAAUUUAAAUAAAAAAAAAAUUGAUAAAAAAA